rnacentral:rRNA from 1 species
CCUACGGGUGACAGCAGUGAGGAAUAUUGGUCAAUGGCCGGAAGGCUGAACCAGCCACGCCGCGUGAAGGUCAGUGCCCUAUGGGCGUUAAACUUCUUUUGUGCGGGAGCAAUAAUGGUCACGUGUGGCCAGACUAGAGUACCGUACGAAUAAGCAUCGGCUAACUCUGUGCCAGCAGCCGCGGUAAUAGGGGGGAUGCAAGCGUUAUCCGGAUUUGUUGGGUUUAAAGGGUGCGUAGGCUGUGAGGUAAUGUAGCGGUGAAAUGCCCCCGCUCAACGGGGUGAAGUGCCAUUGAUACUGGGUUGCUGGAGUGCGGAUGCCGUGGGAGGAAUGUGGGGUGUAGCGGUGAAAUGCAUAGAUAUCACACAGAACACCGAUUGCGAAGGCAUCUCACGAAUCCGCGAUUGACGCUGAUGCACGAAAGCGUGGGUAUCAAACAGGAUUAGAUACCCCUGUAGUC